rnacentral:rRNA from 1 species
UGGCGGACGGGUGAGUAAUGUCUGGGAAACUGCCUGAUGGAGGGGGAUAACUACUGGAAACGGUAGCUAAUACCGCAUAACGUCGCAAGACCAAAGAGGGGGACCUUCGGGCCUCUUGCCAUCGGAUGUGCCCAGAUGGGAUUAGCUAGUAGGUGGGGUAAAGGCUCACCUAGGCGACGAUCCCUAGCUGGUCUGAGAGGAUGACCGGCCACACUGGAACUGAGACACGGUCCAG